rnacentral:rRNA from 1 species
ACAGCAGUCGCCGCGGUAAUACGAAGGGUGCAAGCGUUAAUCGGAAUUACUGGGCGUAAAGCGUGCGUAGGCGGUUUGUUAAGUCUGCUGUGAAAUCCCCGGGCUCAACCUGGGAAUGGCAGUGGAUACUGGCAAGCUAGAGUGUGUCAGAGGAUGGUGGAAUUCCCGGUGUAGCGGUGAAAUGCGUAGAGAUCGGGAGGAACAUCAGUGGCGAAGGCGGCCAUCUGGGACAACACUGACGCUGAGGCACGAAAGCGUGGGGAGCAAACAGGAUUAGAUACCCCGGUAGUCCCUGUCUCUUAUAC